UUUGUAUUCUUAAAUUUUUGUUUUUAGAGACGGGGUCUCCAGUCUGUCACCCAGAUUGGAGUGCAGUGGCGAUCAUGACAGUGCAGCGUGGAACUCCUGGUCCCAGGUGGUGCUCCCCAUUCAGCCUCUCAAAGUGUUGGGAUUACAGUGUGAAACCUGAAGGGAGAAAACACGCGGAGUCCAGCAGGGAUUCGGCUGCCCGGCAGCCUCACGCAGUGCGAAGAAUCAGCACAAGGUCCCUGUUACAGCACAAAGCGACUGAUACAAGCGGUCACAGGUGAAGGCCACAAAGGAGGUACCACCACCACCAAACCACCAAAAGACAAACGGCGAUGAUCUUCCGAGGUUUCUUUCGCCUCCAAGUUACAGUUUUUAC
ensembl:lncRNA